AAUUAUGAAAAGCUGAAACGGCUCAGUUUUUUUUAACAUUAAAUUCCCUGCAUUUCUUUGUUGAAAACUGCUCAAAAUUUUGCUUGGUUCUUUUGGUUUCUGAUCUUCAUUAUUAGUAAAAAUGACUGGAAAUGUCCAAAUUUUGCACCUGGGUUGAAAUAGAUUGAGUUUUGGAUCUUUAAAAGUUUGGUUUGAGUUUUGUUGUUUGGGGGUAUUGCUUCAUUGCUGGGGUUUUUAGCUGAUUCUGCUGCUGCUUCUUUUUUUUGUUUGAGCUCUUGCUGUUGUUUCCUCCUAAUCUCAGACUUCGCUCUGUUCUUGUUUGGCUGUAUUCAGAUACUACAACAGAAGGUUUAUUCCAGUUACAUGACUCGCUUUAUUCUGUUGAAAGUCAGCAUCUAUCCUUGGUGUAGAUUUCAUGUUGAACUUACAAGAUGACUGGUGUAGUUUGUUAUUUGAAGGGUACUGUGAGGUGUUCUAAUAUAGCUAUGAUAGUUUUGUUGGGAAAUAAAGUCUUUUUGUGAUAUAGGAUCACGAACACAUGUUAAGAGUAGUUUAAUUUACUUAUGAGUCUUGUGUGAGAUUUUUGCAUAAUCAGUUUAGUGUACAAUAUCUUGUGAAAUGAGGGUUUAAAUCUUGCAAGAGUUUCGAGCCUUGAGUUUGUCAGUUGUGAAAGACAUUCCGUGUUGUGAUAGGUAUACGGUUAUUAUGAAUAAGGAAAAUGGUCUAAGAUUAUUGGUUUGCUCAUGAGCAUGUUUAAGUUGGGAUUGGUAUUUUUAAAUUUUAUAAUAUCUAUCUAGUUGACUUUUGCUUAAAAAAGUUAAAAGUUCAGAAGCAGAAUGUCAGUUCCAUUUCAUGUUUCAUAUAGUUUUGUUUGAUUUGCAAUUAAUAAUUUUGCACAAUUGUUUGGUUGUAAAAGUUGGGCCUAUUGUUGGCCCAGUUAAUGAAAAGUUUCAAUUUCAGUUUCAA